rnacentral:lncRNA from 1 species
GGUCGGUUUCGCUUAGUAGCUGAGCAGGCUUGAAAGGUCCCUUAAGCUGUGUUCUCUGUCCUGCCGCUGGAUGCUGUGGAGGGUGCUCAGGCAAGCUCCGAAGUUGCGGCAUGGCUACACUUGUGAAGACUGUAAUAUUGAAGAACAUGGUCAAAGUUCCAGAAGACAUGGAAGGUAAUAUUCAUGUGCAAGUUGAUAUGGAUAUGCCUCUGAAGAAAUUUCAAUGUUUUCUGGACGAUUAAAAGGAAAGCAUCAGUGUAAAAAGUACUGUUAUAAGUAUAUUGGUGAUUACUAAGUUCUCACAAAACCAUGUACCUCAAUGUCAGGUAUCUGAUUUGUAUUUGUAAGGCUUUCUUUUAAGAAAGAAGCAAUGCCUUAACAGAUAUCACCAUUUGUAUCAGUCCCAUUAAAGCUAUGCUGAAUUGAAAGAUCCUGGCAGAAUGUAAAAGGACACAGAAGCCCUGAAAUUGGCAAGAUAGACGUCGGCAAGCUCCGAAGUUGCGACAUGGAUGCAUUG